rnacentral:rRNA from 1 species
GACAGAGGGUGCAAGCGUUGUUCGGAAUUACUGGGCGUAAAGCGUGCGUAGGCGGUUCGUUAAGUCUGAUGUGAAAGCCCUGGGCUCAACCUGGGAAUGGCAUUGGAUACUGGCGACCUAGAGUGCGGUAGAGGGGUGUGGAAUUCCCGGUGUAGUAGUGAAAUGCGUAGAUAUCGGGAGGAACAUCUGUGGCGAAGGCGACACCCUGGACCAGCACUGACACUGAGGCACGAAAGCGUGGGGAGCAAACAGG